rnacentral:tRNA from 1 species
AGAAAUGUGCCCGACUUCAAGGAUUACUUUGAUAGAGUAAAACAAAGGGGUGAAAAUCCCCUCAUUUC